UAUGUCCAUAUCACGUCGAAACACCGGUUCCCGUACGAUCACCGAAGUUAAGCAACGUCGAGUCUAGUCAGUACCUAGAUGGAUGACCACUUGGUAAUUCUAGGUACUGUGA